rnacentral:rRNA from 1 species
UACAGAGGUCUCAAGCGUUGUUUGGAUUCAUUGGGCGUAAAGGGUGCGUAGGCGGCGCGGUAAGUCGGGUGUGAAAUCUCGGAGCUUAACUUCGAAACUGCAUUCGAUACUGCCGUGCUUGAGGACUGGAGAGGAGACUGGAAUUUUUACGGUGUAGCGGUGAAAUGCGUAGAUAUCGUAAGGAAGACCAGUGGCGAAGGCGGGUCUCUGGACAGUUCCUGACGCUGAGGCACGAAGGCCAGGGGAGCAAAACGGGG